GCCCAAACUCCUACGGGAGGCAGCAGUAGGGAAUCUUCCACAAUGGGCGAAAGCCUGAUGGAGCAACGCCGCGUGGGUGAAGAAGGUCUUCGGAUCGUAAAACCCUGUUGUUAGAGAAGAAAGUGCGUGAGAGUAACUGUUCACGUUUCGACGGUAUCUAACCAGAAAGCCACGGCUAACUACGUGCCAGCAGCCGCGGUAAUACGUAGGUGGCAAGCGUUAUCCGGAUUUAUUGGGCGUAAAGGGAACGCAGGCGGUCUUUUAAGUCUGAUGUGAAAGCCUUCGGCUUAACCGGAGUAGUGCAUUGGAAACUGGGAGACUUGAGUGCAGAAGAGGAGAGUGGAACUCCAUGUGUAGCGGUGAAAUGCGUAGAUAUAUGGAAGAACACCAGUGGCGAAAGCGGCUCUCUGGUCUGUAACUGACGCUGAGGUUCGAAAGCGUGGGUAGCAAACAGGAUUAGAUACCCUGGUAGUCCACGCCGUAAACGAUGAAUGCUAAGUGUUGGAGGGUUUCCGCCCUUCAGUGCU
rnacentral:rRNA from 1 species